rnacentral:rRNA from 1 species
CCACGACUCACGUCUGUGUCAGCAGCGCGGUAAAUACCCAGCUCUCCGAAGUGGAGGGGUGAUUAUUGGCUUAAAGCGUCCGGUAGCCGGCUUGGCAAGUCUUCCGUUAAAUCCGCAACCUAAUUGUUGGGCUGCGGGGGGAUACUGGUUAGGCUAGGGGGCGGGAGAGGCCGACGGUAUUCUCGGGGUAGGGGUGAAAUCUUAUAAUCCCCGGGGAGGGACCGCCAGUGGCGAAGGCUGUCGGCUAGCACGCGCCUGACGGUGAGGGACGAAAGCUUGGGGGGAGCGAACCGGAUUAGAUACCCGGGUAGUCCCUGGCUGUAAACGAUGCGAGCUAGGUGUUGGGGGCGGCUACGAGCCGCUUCAGUGCCGCAGCGAAGGCGUUAAGCUCGCCGCCUGGGGAGUACGGCCGCAAGGCUGAAACUUAAAGGGAAUUGGCGGGGGAGCACCACAAGGCGUGAAGCUUGCGGUUCAAUUGGAGUCAACGCCGGGAACCUUACCGGGGGGCGACAGCAGGAUGAAGGCCAGGUUGAUGGCCUUGCUGGACGAGCUGAGAGGAGGCGCAUGGCCGUCGUCAGUUCGUGCCGUGAGGUGUCCUCUUAAGUGAGGUAACGAUCGAGACCCGCGCCCCUUGUUGCUAGCAGAUUCCAUCGGAAUCUGUGCACACUAGGGGGACCGCCGUCGAUAAGACGGAGGAAGGAGCGGGCCACGGCAGGUCAGUAUGCCCCGAAUCCCCCGGGCCACACGCGAGCUGCAAUGGCAGGGACAAUGGGUGUCGACUCCGAAAGGAGGAGGUAAUCUCUAAACCCUGCCUCAGUUGGGAUCGAGGGCUGAAACCCGUCCUCGUGAAUAUGGAAUGCCUAGUAAUCGCGCGUCAUCAUCGCGCGGUGAAUACGUCCCCGCUCC